ACAUAGUUGCAACUGGUUAAAUGUCAGAAAAUGGUAUAGAGAUUACUGAUCUAAAGAAAUAACCCAAAUAGAAGAGUUAUAGAGCUUCCUACAGAGCUCUGCCAACUCACCAUUUGAAAAUUAGACCAACAGACUAUGUGGCUAAGAAGAUCUGAUGGGCCUGCCAGUAGCAUGGAAGAGACACAACUCAGGGUACAGCAUCUGCUUUCCAUGCAGAAG